GUAGCGACUCAAGUAGCGCAGCCCUGACAUGAUGAAGUGAAUGGCACAACAGAGCAAGUUUCAGCAUGGAUUUGGGCAAGCAGUAAUUGAUGACCUGUGUUAUGAUGACAUUCACAUUUCUCUUGUGACCUGAAAAUGUUCCUCUUCACCUGUCAACCCCAGAUUUGAUGCCAUAAUUUGUGAAUAUAGUGGGAGAGAAGCACUCCUUGUGCUCCUUCUGAAUAGGGUCUGUGAGUCGGCAGCAAUUCCACUGGUUCUGACCCUGGAACUUUAGCCUAUGAUCCACCACUCAAGGCCCUCCAGCUGCAUCGAUCUUCUCUUACAAGGUCCAGAUGGAGCCAUCAGGUUUGAUGAUGUAAGGACUGGUCUUGCUGCUCAAUACCUUCAAAGAAGUAAGGUUCCCAGCACUCGGAUGCCACCAUAGAGAAGAUCCAGUAAUCCAGCAGGGUCUGCUGGCCGCUGACCAUUCGGUGUUCCUCCUGGCU